AACGGCAGGGGAGGGUGAGGAAGGCAAGGGCGGCAGGGUGUAUACUGUAUAAGUGAGCCAUGGACAGCAGGGGAGGGUGAGAACUGAGGAAGGCAAGGGCGGCAGGGUGAGUUAGAGAGGCAGGGUGUGUAAGUUAGGCAGGAACAGCAGGGAAGGGUGAGGAAGGCAAAGUGAGUGAGCCAGGCAGGGUAUGUGAGGCAUGGGCGGCAGGGUGAGUGAGCCAGGCAGGGAUUACCAAGCUUUGUGGCGGGCAAACGUGGCGCAGACUCUGGAAAGCUGGCGAAAAAGUGAUGGAAAAUUGAGGGGCGGGAGGCGAGUGAGGGAGGGAAAGGAGUUUGGAAUUCUGACAUGAACGGUCUGCAGCAGGGACGUGAGGUGAAGGUUACUGCAGGCGGUGUAGGUCGUGACGGCGGACAGGUAGACAGGCGAAGCAGUGAAUAAUUAGAUGAGAAGACGAACAGACAGAGACGCAGAUAAAAAUGACAGAAAUGAAUAGGGAAACAGACACACACUCUUCGACAAAUUAACAGGUAGAUAGGUAGACACGUAGACAAUCAUACAGACAAAUACACAGGUAAAUAAACAGAUAAGUAAGCAAUUAGACAAGAAUGCAGGUAGAUACACAGGUAAAGAGGUAGAGAAUCACACAGACAGACAGACAGGUAGAUAAUAGGUAGAACAGGUGUCUCAGUAAUGAAGAAAAAGGUAAAGGUAAGAAAAGAAAGAAAAAAGAAAGAAGCAGUUUAACAUGUACUUCUAAGUGUGGAGGAGACGAACAAGGAAGGGAGGGAGGAAAAGAGUGAGAGGAAGGAGAGAGGCACUUUAAGGCUAGGAGAGAAAAGAAAGGAAGGAAGGAAGAAAGAAGCCAUUUAACAUGUACUUCUAAGAGUGGAGGAGACGAACAAGGAAGGGAGGGAGGAAAGGAAAGAGAGAAGGGAUGAGGGACGGCCGGUUAUCUCAAUAGUGGAAAAAAAAGUAAAGAAAGAAAAGAACAAAAAUAGAAAGGAAGGAAGGAAGAAAGAAGCCAUUUAACAUGUACUUCUAAGAGUGGAGGAGACGAACAAGGAAGGGAGGGAGGAAAGGAGCGAGAGGAAGGAGAGGGGGUUGGGAGAGGGCCACCGUAAGGCUAUCUCAGGUGGAGUCAACUCAUUACCUGCCAGAGCUGAUGCCAAGAGUGACCUGUCCCGUCCCGCGCCGCCACGCCCUCCUCCUUACCUGCCUGCUUGACAACUUGCUCACCUGUGUUACCUGCUGAGAGAGAGAGAGAGAGAGAGAGAGAGAGAGAGAGAGAGAGAGAGAGAGAGAGAGAGAGAGAGAGAGAGAGAGAGAGAGAGAGAGAGAGAGAGAGGAACAAGCAGAAAUGGAGGAGAGAAUGAGAAAGAUAAAAAGGAACAAGUAGUAAUGGAGAGAGAGAGAGAGAGAGAGAGAGAGAGAGAGAGAGAGAGAGAGAGAGAGAGAGAGAGAGAGAGAGAGAGA